AUGGCCACAUCAUGUUAAAACACUGGCUCCCACUAGAUCACUGAAGUUAAGCAAUGUUGAGCCUGGUCAGUACCUUGAUGGGUAACCACCUGGAAAUACCAGGUGUUGUAAG